rnacentral:rRNA from 1 species
AGUGAACGCUGGCGGUAGGCCUAACACAUGCAAGUCGAACGGCAGCACAGUAAGAGCUUGCUCUUACGGGUGGCGAGUGGCGGACGGGUGAGGAAUACAUCGGAAUCUACUUUUUCGUGGGGGAUAACGUAGGGAAACUUACGCUAAUACCGCAUACGACCUACGGGUGAAAGCAGGGGAUCUUCGGACCUUGCGCGAUUGAAUGAGCCGAUGUCGGAUUAGCUAGUUGGCGGGGUAAAGGCCCACCAAGGCGACGAUCCGUAGCUGGUCUGAGAGGAUGGUCAGCCACACGGGAGCUGAGACACGGUCCAGACUCCUACGGGAGGCAGCAGUGGGGAAUAUUGGACAAAGGGCGCAAGCCUGAUCCAGCCAUACCGCGUGGGUGAAGAAGGCCUUCGGGUUGUAAAGCCCUUUUGUUGGGAAAGAAAAGCAGCAGGUUAAUACCCCGCUGUUCUGACGGUACCCAAAGAAUAAGCACCGGCUAACUUCGUG